rnacentral:lncRNA from 1 species
ACGCAGUGUAGUGUAAUGGCAUCUGAUGACAUCACACCUAGCUCUGCAAUAAAUUUCUUAAACUAGAAUGCUUCCUUAGCAGCUUCAGAGGUGGCAAUAUACUCGGCUUCUAUGGUCGAAUCUGCAAUGACCGAUUGUUUAAAACUUUUUCAGCUAAUCGAUCCUCUAUUACACAAAAAAAUAUAUCUCAACGUAGACCUUUUAUCAUCGAUAUCAGAUAUGAAGUCUGAAUCGAUGUAUCCUUCCACUUUUAGCUCUGAACCUCCUGCAA